rnacentral:rRNA from 1 species
AUACGUAGGGUGCGAGCGUUGUCCGGAAUGAUUGGGCGUAAAGGGCGCGUAGGCGGCGCGGUAAGUCUGGAGUGAAAGUCCUGCUUUCAAGGUGGGAAUUGCUUUGGAUACUGCCGCGCUUGAGUGCAGGAGAGGUUAUCGGAAUUCCCGGUGUAGCGGUGAAAUGCGUAGAGAUCGGGAGGAACACCAGUGGCGAAGGCGGGUAACUGGACUGCAACUGACGCCGAGGCGCGAAAGUGUGGGGAGCAAACAGGAUUAGAUACCCUGGUAGUCCACACUGUAAACGAUGAAUGCUAGGUGUAAGAGGUAUCGACCCCUUUUGUGCCGGAGUCAACACAAUAAGCAUUCCGCCUGGGGAGUACGGCCGCAAGGUUGAAACUCAAAGGAAUUGGCGGGG